AACAAAAUUUUUUUGUUUAAAAGAUAACAGUUUCUCCACGGCUCGUGUCUAUAUUUACGCGACAGGUCUUACCGGAUUCCAUAACCCACAGAACCUAACGCCUUGCCUAAAUUUCCCCUUGUUUUCAUCUCUCUCUUUGAUCGCUUCACCCAAAUAUAAGCUUGUAGAUUCUGCCAAUCCGUACUCCAUAGCCGAUAUCAUGAAACUAUACAGUUCUGUAUACCAGAGCUUCCGUAUUUUGGCGUAUAUGUAUAAUAUAUGAGAGAUGUAUUCCGGACUUUUGCGGUGAUGGAUAUAUGUAUUUGUUAGGGAUCUAUUGGCUGUAAUGUGAGUUCAGAUCUGAGUUGAUAUGCGAGUGUUUUGAGAUCAGCUCCAUUGCUUUUCUAUGGUUUUAAGUUUUUGCUCUUUUUUUUUUUUUUUUUUUUUUUUUUUGGUGUUUGGUGGGGAUGGUUGAGACACUGGAGGCAGCGGUUAAUCGAUCUGUUCCUGAAACUCAAAACUCAAAGGAUAAAUUAGCGUAACAGGAAUCGAUCGAUAAACCUCUGCAUCCAGCGCUUUACCCCUCUUUGCUUGCCUACAUAUUUCAUGUUUCUAGUUUUUUACUUCCCUUUUAAUGCUUUUUUUUUGGUGGGGGCUUUGGUAUUGAUGUUUAAAGAACAAAUUGUGUAGUUUUUUUUUUUCUUUGUGAGGUAUGGAAUUGUUGUGUAUAUGAAAAAGGGUUAUAGGAGUUUGGUUGAAACUUCAUUUUUAAUCAUUUUGGCUAUAGAUAUGAUAAUGAUAGUUUUUUGUUAUAAGAUUGCUAGAAUUUUUAUGGCUAGAUUUUAGUUCAUCAAGAUUUACUAAGUCAACCCUGUAUGGAGUACCUUCUUUGAGAUAGGUUAGUUUACUCAUUAUCUUUUUGUUUCUGGUAAAAAAAUUAACAGUUUUAUUUAUCUUGCUCUUGUGGUUUGCAGAUUUGGUUGGCCAAGUUAUUAACUAUUGCUCAUAUGAUAAUUGUGAUACCUUUCUUGAUUUGCUUGUUGUGCAUCAAUAAAUCUGCAGAAUUCAUGGCAAAAAAAAAUUGCUUAUUUUUGUCUUCCAUUGAAUGCAGGCACCUAUAUGGAUGUAAAUCAUCAUCAUGCUUUUGAUAUUUAUUAGGUAAUAGCUCUUCACAGUUACGGUGUAAUGUUUCAGAACAAAAUUUGUAACUCUACAAUAAGAAUUCUAUAGUGUUGGUUCAGUUUCCUUUUCCAGUAGCACUCUAUGUGGUUUUGAAGUUAGAUGUGCUAUGCUCUAAAGGGGUAUGUGAUUCUGAGACUGCUGCUCACAAUCUCACCACCCACAUCUUGUCGCACAUGGCACAUCGUGUUUGUGAACAGAGGUAUAUACGACUAGUGUUGGCAUUUCAUUAGAAUAAAUGUUCACAGCCUUAUUCUUGUUUGUUCACUGAUCAAAGUUCAGAUGACAAAUGCAAAAAUCAAAUUCCAACCUCUUUUGUUGUCACAAGUAACUCUUCAAGCAGGAAGAGUUUCAUGUUGAUCCGCAUAGUGCAUUGAAUCUUAGACUUAAUAGUUUACAUGAGACGGAAUGCCUAAGUUGGUAGUUGAAUUGCAUAUCUAUUAUUUAUAUAUAUGAUGUUCAACAAGUCAGAUAGUAGUUAUCGGUCAUAGAGUAAUAUUGCAUGUAUUCCGCUUUAUGUGGUGCAUUGUUGUGGUUGGUUGACUAAGGUAAAACUUUUGCCAUUGGUAAUGUAUAUUUGAUUUUCUUGGUAUGGGGAUAAAAUUACCUUAAAGAGAAAAAAAGCCAUGAAAUUGGGGAGGGAAAUGUCAUCCCCAUGACACAUAGGAGGGAAGUACCAUGAGAGGAUGAUAGUAGGAAAUUACAAAAUUGCCAGGGAGGGGAUCUUUGCUUACAAGGGAUGAUGAUGUGAAGCUCUUAGGAAUCUGGUAUCACAUUCCUUUUGCAAACAUAGUCAAGAAAUAUAGUAAGCUGGACCAAUCAAAUUGUCCUUGUUUUUGUUGCCGUGAUAUAAGUUGUCUCAAUGUGAUCAGCAUCAGUUUAAAGUAAAGAGUGUUGGUCACUUUCAAGAUAAAGAUUCUUCUUUUGGUUGCUUUUUUUUUUUUUUUUUCAAUGGUGAUUCAUGCCAUAUUCAUGUACUCUAGUGUCUGUGUGAUUACCGCAUGGCAGUUCAGUUAAUCACAUGGGUGAAGUUUGGAAACAAUGACUCGAUAUUGAGUUUCACCAGUGAUAGUGUAAGAGCAACCUUUCAAAGUGAAGGGGCUCUUUAUGCGUGAACAAAGUUCUAACCCCUAUUCAGUUGAGUUACCAUGAUUUACAUUCUCCCAUAUGCUCUGUCGGACUAUAGUGUGGGGCUCUUAGAAUUGGGGAUUCAACGUUUUGGGAACAACAAAAUUAUUUAUUUUCUACCUACCUUUGCCUGGUGGGAGAUUUUGUAUUGUGUCGUAGGCAUACAUGUCAUUCAAAAAGUUUUUUUUGUAGUUGAGCAAGCAAAUAGCAAUACGUAACUUUAAGGUAACAUAUCACGUGUUUGAUCUCUACCUUUUUUUAGAAAUAUCGAAAAAAAAUAGAGCUGUAUGGAAAAACAUUACGCAAUUUUUUGUGCCCAAGAAAAGAAAAAAAAAAGGUAAUAAGU